CUAGUAUAGCAUUAUACAGCGAAACUGCGAAUGGCUCAUUAAAUCAGUUAUCGUUUAUUUGAUAGUACCUUACUACUUGGAUAACCGUGGUAAUUCUAGAGCUAAUACAUGCUAAAAACCCCGACUCACGAAGGGGUGUAUUUAUUAGAUUAAAAACCAAUGCCCUUCGGGGCUCUUUGGUGAUUCAUAAUAACUUUUCGAAUCGCAUGGCCUUGCGCCGGCGAUGGUUCAUUCAAAUUUCUGCCCUAUCAACUUUCGAUGGCAGGGUCUUGGCCUGCCAUGGUUACAACGGGUAACGGAGGGUUAGGGCUCGACCCCGGAGAAGGAGCCUGAGAAACGGCUACUACAUCCAAGGAAGGCAGCAGGCGCGCAAAUUACCCAAUCCCGAUUCGGGGAGGUAGUGACAAUAAAUACUGAUACAGGGCUCUUUUGGGUCUUGUAAUUGGAAUGAGUACAAUUUAAAUCCCUUAACGAGGAACAAUUGGAGGGCAAGUCUGGUGCCAGCAGCCGCGGUAAUUCCAGCUCCAAUAGCGUAUAUUAAAGUUGUUGCAGUUAAAAAGCUCGUAGUUGAACCUUGGGCCUGGCUGGCCGGUCCGCCUCACCGCGUGCACUGGUUCGGCCGGGCCUUUCCCUCUGGGGAACCUCAUGGUCUUCACUGAUCGUGAUGGGGAACCAGGACUUUUACUGUGAAAAAAUUAGAGUGUUCAAAGCAGGCCUAUGCUCGAAUACAUUAGCAUGGAAUAAUAAAAUAGGACGUGUGGUUCUAUUUUGUUGGUUUCUAGGACCGCCGUAAUGAUUAAUAGGGACAGUCGGGGGCAUCAGUAUUCAAUUGUCAGAGGUGAAAUUCUUGGAUUUAUUGAAGACUAACUACUGCGAAAGCAUUUGCCAAGGAUGUUUUCAUUAAUCAGGAACGAAAGUUAGGGGAUCGAAGACGAUCAGAUACCGUCGUAGUCUUAACCAUAAACUAUGCCGACUAGGGAUCGGACGGUGUUACUUAUUGACCCGUUCGGCACCUUACGAGAAAUCAAAGUCUUUGGGGUUCU
rnacentral:rRNA from 1 species